CCUACUGGAGGCAGCAGUGAGGAAUAUUGGUCAAUGGACGAGAGUCUGAACCAGCCAAGUAGCGUGAAGGAUGAAUGCCCUAUGGGUUGUAAACUUCUUUUAUAUGGGAAUAAAAUGUACCACGUGGGGGAUUUUGUAUGUACCAUAUGAAUAAGGAUCGGCUAACUCCGUGCCAGCAGCCGCGUUAAUACGGAGGAUACGAGCGUUAUCAGGAUGUAUUGGGUUUAAAGGGAGCGUAGGUUGAUUGUUAAGCCAGUUGUGAAAGUUGGCGGCUCAACCGUAAAAUUGGAGUUGAAACUGGCAGUCUUGAGUACAGUAGAGGUGGGCGGAAUUCGUGGUGUAGCGGUGAAAUGCUUAGAUAUCACGAAGAACUCCGAUUGCGAAGGUAGCUCACUGGACUGCAACUGACACUGAGGCUCGAAAGUGUGGGUAUCAAACAGGAUUAGAUACCCGUGUAGUC
rnacentral:rRNA from 1 species